rnacentral:rRNA from 1 species
UACGUAGGGUGCAAGCGUUAAUCGGAAUUACUGGGCGUAAAGCGUGCGCAGGCGGUUAUGUAAGACAGUUGUGAAAUCCCCGGGCUCAACCUGGGAAUUGCAUCUGUGACUGCAUAGCUAGAGUACGGUAGAGGGGGGAUGGAAAUUCCGCGUGUAGCAGUGAAAUGCGUAGAUAUGCGGAGGAACACCGAUGGCGAAGGCAAUCCCCUGGACCUGUACUGACGCUCAUGCACGAAAGCGUGGGGAGCAAACGAGG